rnacentral:tRNA from 1 species
GCAUUAGUAGCUCAGGGUUAGAGCGUUGGUUUUGUAAAUCGAAUGUCGGGGGUUAAAUUCCUCCCUGGUGCU